rnacentral:lncRNA from 1 species
CUUCGGAGAGUUGGUAUUUCGUCAAGUGCUUAAUAUUGAGGCUUGGAACGAUCUGAAAUUCUUGGAGACAUUUAAGAAGUAUGUGGACGAAAUGGAAUGUGAUGAGAAGAAAAGAGAAAAGAAAAGGGAAGGAACUUCAUUAGUAUCAACUGAGAAAAAGGCAAAGCUAUCUGCAAGUGCAUAAGACAAAAUUGUAAGGUCAAGUAAAAGAGAUCGAUUGAAAGUUUCAAAGCUGCUCUAAAAAGAAAGUUGAAGUUGAAGAAAUCUUAACUGAUGAGGACUCUUCAUGUGAAGAAGAAAUAGAAUUUGAAGAAAUAUUGUUAAAGAUACCAAAAACGGAUUCUACCUCUGAAGUUUUCCAAACUC